rnacentral:antisense_RNA from 1 species
GCGCACCCCAGCGGCUCCUCCACGCGGAGAGAUGGUGUCAGUGAAAGGCUGUCUAGAUGACGAGUUUAUGAAAUUGUUUCUGGCCUGUGCCGGGCACGACCUUACAGAGAACCCAGAAGAUGAAACCCCAGCCCUGCCCAGGAGCUCACCUGCUAAUUAGGAGGACAAUGCAUCACCUCAUCUCCCUAGACUUUGCUUCUCCUUUAUUCAGUGAGGGAUUGGACUAGCUGGUCCUUAAGAACUUUUCAGUAAGUCUGGUUCUGGGAGAUGAUCAAUGGGAUCAUCUUAUGCUAUGAGCUUUCCUGGAAUGACAGGUGAUGGAGAGUGAGGAGAUUUUACCUGAUUUGGUCCUGUUUGCACCAUCAGCCAGCAACCUUUCUGGGAAGCAUGCUUAUUAUGUACCAACAUAAAAGCUUGAAUACAAGGUAUGCAGUCCCAAUUUCCUGAUCUCAGAUAGAAAUGUUCAAGCUGCAUAACAUUAAAUUCAAAGAACCA